UACGGAGGGAGCUAGCGUUGUUCGGAAUUACUGGGCGUAAAGCGCGCGUAGGCGGUGAUUCAAGUCAGAGGUGAAAGCCCGGGGCUCAACCCCGGAACUGCCUUUGAAACUAGAUUGCUAGAAUCUUGGAGAGGUCAGUGGAAUUCCGAGUGUAGAGGUGAAAUUCGUAGAUAUUCGGAAGAACACCAGUGGCGAAGGCGACUGACUGGACAAGUAUUGACGCUGAGGUGCGAAAGCGUGGGGAGCAAACAGG
rnacentral:rRNA from 1 species